rnacentral:lncRNA from 1 species
UAUGGGUUCUGGACCUGAUCCGAACUUGGCCCGAGACAGAUCGUAAUAGAUGUGGAUGAACUCGUUUUUAUUGCUAGAGAUUGGGAUCUUCUUGGAGCCAUGUCUAUUCCAGAAAAUCAAGGGUUUAAUUUGUAAGUGGAAGGAAGGAGUGGCGGCGGCGGUUUGGGUGGAUGAAGUGGUGGAAAUGGAAUCGUCAUCGUCGUCGUUGGCGGAGGAAGGGAGGAGGUGGAGGUAGAGAGAUCGGCCGAAGAGGGUGCGGGACCAGGUGAGAGCGAAGAUGCCGAUGUGGGUGUGGUAGAGGGUGGUAGUGACAUUGGGUUUAGAUGAUGGCGGUGGAGGUGGCGGCGGAGGUGGCGAUGGAGAGUUGUUAAGGUUGCGGUUGCAGGUGGGCCGCCGGUGGAGGAUUGGG